GAUGAACGCUGGCGGCGUGCCUAAUACAUGCAAGUCGAGCGAACAGACGAGGAGCUUGCUCCUCUGACGUUAGCGGCGGACGGGUGAGUAACACGUGGAUAACCUACCUAUAAGACUGGGAUAACUUCGGGAAACCGGAGCUAAUACCGGAUCAUAUAUUGAACCGCAUGGUUCAAUAGUGAAAGACGGUUUUGCUGUCACUUAUAGAUGGAUCCGCGCCGCAUUAGCUAGUUGGUACGGUAACGGCUUACCAAGGCAACGAUGCGUAGCCGACCUGAGAGGGUGAUCGGCCACACUGGAACUGAGACACGGUCCAGACUCCUACGGGAGGCAGCAGUAGGGAAUCUUCCGCAAUGGGCGAAAGCCUGACGGAGCAACGCCGCGUGAGUGAUGAAGGUCUUCGGAUCGUAAAACUCUGUUAUUAGGGAAGAACAAAUGUGUAAGUAACUAUGCACGUCUUGACGGUACCUAAUCAGAAAGCCACGGCUAACUACGUG
rnacentral:rRNA from 1 species